UACGAAGGGUGCAAACGUUGCUCGGAAUUAUUGGGCGUAAAGCGCACGUAGGCGGCUUUGCAAGUCGGAUGUGAAAUCCCUCGGCUUAACCAAGGAAGUGCAUCCGAAACUGCAGAGCUUGAGUACUUAAGAGGAUCGCGGAAUUCCCGGUGUAGAGGUGAAAUUCGUAGAUAUCAGGAGGAACACCCGUAGCGAAGGCGGCACUCUGGGCCGAUACUGACGCUGAGGAGCGAAAGCGUGGGGAGCAAACAGG
rnacentral:rRNA from 1 species